rnacentral:tRNA from 1 species
GCCAGGGUAGCUCAGUGGUAGAGCAGCGGACUCAUAAGCCGUUGGUCGCGAGUUCAACUCUCGCCCCUGGUA